rnacentral:rRNA from 1 species
CGGACGGGUGAGUAACGCGUGGGUAACCUGCCUUGUACUGGGGGACAACAGUUAGAAAUGACUGCUAAUACCGCAUAAGCGCACAGUAUCGCAUGAUACAGUGUGAAAAACUCCGGUGGUACAAGAUGGACCCGCGUCUGAUUAGCUAGUUGGUAAGGUAACGGCUUACCAAGGCGACGAUCAGUAGCCGACCUGAGAGGGUGACCGGCCACAUUGGAACUGAGACACGGUCCAA